UCAAAGAGCCAGAAGCAUGUGGAGACAGUUGGUGAAGAGAGAGGUGGGUUGAGAUGGUCAAAGAGGCAGAGGAAACAUUUGGAGGCAGAGAGUGAACCUGCGAACAAAUCCCCUCUUGUUCAGAACUGCUCUCCUUGAAAGAAUUUAUUUAUUUGGUCGAAUUAAAUCACCUUGUUCAUCACGGUUAAUGACCCCUGCACAGAGUGAUAGCUCGGGAAGUUCCAAGAAGAAGAAGCAUGUGCAGGCAUAGAGUGAACGUGCGAAUGUAUCUCCUCUUGUUCAGAUGAUGAACACAUUGAGAUUUGAUAAUGUACUUUCUGAAGAGCUUUUUCCGCUGACAGUAGCAAAAAGAGGUAGUGGUCCGUAGACGAGAAAUUUUUUGAUGGGGACAAUAUUCGAAGGGGGAAUGGGGGAUCAAUAAGAAGAGAGUAUUUAUCCUUCCUUUUAUGGACA